rnacentral:rRNA from 1 species
UGGGGAAUAUUGGACAAUGGGGGCAACCCUGAUCCAGCCAUGCCGCGUGAGUGAUGAAGGCCCUAGGGUUGUAAAGCUCUUUUGUGCGGGAAGAUAAUGACGGUACCGCAAGAAUAAGCCCCGGCUAACUUCGUGCCAGCAGCCGCGGUAAUACGAAGGGGGCUAGCGUUGCUCGGAAUCACUGGGCGUAAAGGGUGCGUAGGCGGGUUUCUAAGUCAGAGGUGAAAGCCUGGAGCUCAACUCCAGAACUGCCUUUGAUACUGGAAGUCUUGAGUAUGGCAGAGGUNAGUGGAACUGCGAGUGUAGAGGUGAAAUUCGUAGAUAUUCGCAAGAACACCAGUGGCGAAGGCGGCUCACUGGGCCAUUACUGACGCUGAGGCACGAAAGCGUGGGGAUCAAACAGGAUUAGAUACCCUGGUAGUCCACGCCGUAAACGAUGAAUCGCCAGCCGUUAGUGGGUUUUACUCACUAGUGGCGCAGCUAACGCUUUAAGCAUUCCGCCUGGGGAGUACGGUCGCAAUAUUAAAACUCAAAUGAAUUGACGGGGUCAUAGCUGUUUCCU